rnacentral:rRNA from 1 species
UACGUAGGGGGCAAGCGUUGUCCGGAUUUAUUGGGCGUAAAGAGCGUGUAGGCGGUUUGGUAGGUCCGCUGUGAAAACUCGAGGCUCAACCUCGAGACGCCGGUGGAAACCAUCAGGCUAGAGUCCGGAAGAGGAGAGUGGAAUUCCUGGUGUAGCGGUGAAAUGCGCAGAUAUCAGGAAGAACACCCGUAGCUAAGGCGGCUCUCUAGUACGGUACUGACGCUGAGACGCGAAAGCGUGGGGAGCGAACAGG